ACAUGAACAAGAUUUUCUGAAAGACUGCUAUGGAGUCUGAGAAAAAAUGUCAAAGAUUGAGGACAUGAAGAGGAAAGAACUGACAGAGGAGGUGAAGAAAGGUGAUCAGGAAGAGCCAUCAAAGUGUUAUCCUGGAAUUCAAGUGAAGACAGUGUUUCAAAGUGGAAAUGAACAGUGUCCUGUAACCCUCAGAGUGAGACUAGAGUCAGAAUGCAGGCUUUUCUCAUUUGAAAUCUCAAGGUAAGUCCAGGUCCUUACCUCCACCUAAAAGUUCUGCCAUCAAGGAACAUCUGCUCAUUAUCUUCUGUUCACACAUCAAAUGACUUCAAUGUGAUCCCUGGAUGUUCUCCAAAGAGCUGAAGGGAAAUAAAUAUUCUUUCUUUAUCACCAAAUACUUCAACUGCAGAGUGAUUGUGCUACCAAGGCCUGAAACUUCGGAAAAACCUGCAUAACACAAAAUAUAAAAUAUGCCACAGAGAGGAUCCAGAGAGCCCAUCUCCGGUCAGUUAUCUGUAUUUGUAUGUCAACUACAGCAUCAAAAAGCAUAGGCAUGGAUACUAAGGACCCCCUCUGUACACCAACGCCAGUCCAAAGGACAGUGUGUCACUGUGAACUGGAAAUUCAUCUCUCUUCUUCAAUUUUUUUCUACCUACUUUAUGCUUUAUCUCUAAGUUGAGGCUGUUUAUGGCCUCAUCCUCAAUUACCUUGUCCCUCAUUACUCCCAGUUAAUGGAGAUUAAGCUUUGUAUCAUGACUUCCUAACUAAAAUUGAAAUCACAAGACAUCACAUAAAUAAAGUU
rnacentral:lncRNA from 1 species